rnacentral:rRNA from 1 species
GACGAGGGAUCCUAGCGUUGCUCGGAAUCAUUGGGCGUAAAGCGCACGUAGGCGGAUAUUUAAGUCAGGGGUGAAAUCCCAGAGCUCAACUACUGGAACUGCCUUUGAUACUGGGUGUCUUGAGUAUGAUAGAGGUAUGUGGAACUCCGAGUGUAGAGGUGAAAUUCGUAGAUAUUCGGAAGAACACCAGUGGCGAAGGCGACAUACUGGAUCAUUACUGACGCUGAGGCUCGAAAGCGUGGGGAGCAAACAGG